UGCGGGGUCGUCUAAUUGGUAGGACGUUCGGCUUUGGACUGGGAGAUUCUAGGUUCGAGUCCUAGUCCCGCAGCCA
rnacentral:tRNA from 1 species